CUCCACUUCCGGUUUGCCAGUCGGUACUUCCGCAUGGAGCCGGAGCUGCAGGAUCCGGAGCCAUAGAUCCAUCAUGAGGCAGCAGUUACAGAGAGGAGACCCCCCACGGAGCCACCAGGAGCCGGAGCUGCUGCCGGGGGCCACCAUGAGCCAGAGAUGGAGGUAGAGGGAGCCAGAGCUGCUGGAGCCGCCAGGAGCCGGAGCCCAUGGACCCAUCAUUUGGUGACUACUGCUUAAAAUAUCAACACAUUUAUUGGAUCUUCUGCGUGUUUGACGCGUCGCCGCAGCUUUUUCAUUGUUAACAUGUUAAUAGUGGAAACUGCUGUGACUCAUCAAACAAUCAGAAGAUCUAAUCAAUGGGUUGCUAUUUCAGGUGGUAGUUACCGAGAGGAGACCACGCAAACCUUUUUUCCGUGUAUGCGGUUUACAGAUAAUAAUAUUAAAUAAAUGUUUCAGUAAAAUUCA